CCAUACGACCGUACCGCAAACCGACACUGGUGCGCGAGAUGAGUAUUCUAAGGCGCUUGAGAGAACUCAGGAGAAGGAACUCGGCAAAUUGACACCGUAACUUCAGAAGAAGGUGUGCCCUAUUAGUGUGUAGUGAACAACGAAGCAUGAAUGGGUUGCAAAAAAUCGGUGGCUGCGACUGUUUAUUAAAAACACAGCACUCUGCAAACACGAAAGUGGACGUAUAGGGUGUGACGCCUGCCCGGUGCUGGAAGAUUAAAUGAUGGGGUGCAAGCUCUUGAUUGAAGUCCCAGUAAACGGCGGCCGUAACCAUAACGGUCCUAAGGUAGCGAAAUUCCUUGUCGGGUAAGUUCCGACCUGCACGAAUGGCGUAACGAUGGCCACACUGUCUCCUCCUGAGACUCAGCGAAGUUGAAAUGUUUGUGAUGAUGCAAUCUCCCCGCGGAAAGACGGAAAGACCCCAUGAACCUUUACUGUAGCUUUGUAUUGGACUUUGAACAGAUCUGUGUAGGAUAGGUGGGAGGCUUUGAAGCAGGGUCGCUAGAUCUUGUGGAGCCAACGUUGAAAUACCACCCUGGUGUGUUUGAGGUUCUAACCUAGGUCCAUUAUCUGGAUCGGGGACAGUGCAUGGUAGGCAGUUUGACUGGGGCGGUCUCCUCCCAAAGCGUAACGGAGGAGUUCGAAGGUACGCUAGUUACGGUCGGACAUCGUGACGAUAGUGCAAUGGCAUAAGCGUGCUUAACUGCGAGACUGACAAGUCGAGCAGAUGCGAAAGCAGGACAUAGUGAUCCGGUGGUUCUGUAUGGAAGGGCCAUCGCUCAACGGAUAAAAGGUACUCUGGGGAUAACAGGCUGAUACCGCCCAAGAGUUCAUAUCGACGGCGGUGUUUGGCACCUCGAUGUCGGCUCAUCUCAUCCUGGGGCUGUAGCCGGUCCCAAGGGUAUGGCUGUUCGCCAUUUAAAGAGGUACGUGAGCUGGGUUUAAAACGUCGUGAGACAGUUUGGUCCCUAUCUUCCGUGGGCGCUGCAGAUUUGAGGAAGCCUGCUCCUAGUACGAGAGGACCGGAGUGGACACACCUCUGGUGUAUCGGUUGUCACGCCAGUGGCAUUGCCGAGUAGCUAAGUGUGGAAGAGAUAACCGCUGAAAGCAUCUAAGCGGGAAACUCGUUUCAAGAUGAGAUCUGCCGGGGCCUUGAGCCCCCUAAAGAGUCGUUCAAGACCAGGACGUCGAUAGGUCAGGUGUGGAAAC
rnacentral:rRNA from 1 species